rnacentral:rRNA from 1 species
UACGAAGGACCCGAGCGUUAUCCGGAUUUAUUGGGUUUAAAGGGUGCGUAGGCGUCUUGGAAAGUUACGGUUGAAAUCUCCUUGCUCAACAAGGAAACUGGCCGUAAAACUAUCAGGAUUGAGUACAUUUGAAGCGGGCGGAAUGUGUCAUGUAGCGGUGAAAUGCUUAGAUAUGACACAGAACACCAAUUGCGAAGGCAGCUCGCUAAACUGUAACUGACGCUGAGGCACGAAAGCGUGGGGAUCAAACAGG